UGGCAAGUCUAAGUGGAGGGUUAGGGCUCCUCUAUAACGGUAAAUGCUCUUAACCGGCUGAAGACCUAAGUUGAGGUGCUGAGAUUAAUUCAAGCGCCCAAUGGAAGCUGUCGAAACGACGUCCUAGAAGAUGUUUAAUCGUCGAGACCUUCACCGGAGGGUAAGGUUAGAAAGCGUAGGGACCAAUUCGGUUAGGCACGGAAGUGAGCGGCCGUCCGUCCUGUUAGGCAUGCCUCUGGGGUUGCGGCGUGGAGGUAACUGUUGGUAGCGGGGUUUUAGUUGAAUCAUCGAUCUUGGGGACUUGCUA
rnacentral:SRP_RNA from 1 species